AGCCUUGUGGUGUAAUACAUGUUGGAUUGCAAAUCCGAAGAUGUCGAUUGGUCGUCGGCCGAGGCUU
rnacentral:tRNA from 1 species